rnacentral:lncRNA from 1 species
GUAAAAAGUUGGGGUUUAUAUCAUAUUGCAUGAAUUUAUCCCUCUACAUCAUGUCAUCUUGCUUAAGGUGUUACUCUGUUUGUUAUGAAGUCAAUACACUAGAUUCAUGCUGGAUAACGGUCGAUGUGUGGAGUAAUAGUAGUAGAUGCAGAAAGUAUCGGUCUACUUGUCUCGGACGUCAUGCCUAUAUGUAUGAUCAUUGCCUUAGAUAUCAUUAUGACUUUGCCCGAUUCUAUCAAUUGCUCGACAGUAAUUCGUUCACCCACCGUAAUACUUGCUAUAAUGAGAGAAGCCUCUAGUGAACACUAUGGCCCCCGGGUCUACUUCACAUCAUAUUUUCAGAUCUACACAAUUACUUUGUUGCACUUUCCACCUUCAGAUCUCACCUUGCAAAUAAUCGUGAAGGGAUUGACAACCCCUUUAUAGCGUUGGGUGCAAGUUUGCUUGUUUUUGCGCAGGUACAUUGG